GGGUCAGUAGGUUGGUCGUGCCACAGGUAUGAACUGGCCUCACUGAUUCCUCCUUCCUGAUGAACCGUAAUGCCAUUAAUUUGGUGUUGCGGGGAGACUGGACUGUUACUUUGAAAAAAUUAGAGUGUUUAAAGCAGGCUCGCGCUUGAAUACAUUAGCAUGGAAUAAUGAAAUAGGACG
rnacentral:rRNA from 1 species